CUUAGAAAGGAGAAGCGGUGAGGUGUUGGUCUGUCACAUGUUAUGAAACAACACGUUGGGGUCUGCGAGGAAAACCGGAGGCGUAUUUUAUGAAGCGUGAGGGAAAUUCCUGUCCGACCAAAAGAGGACGAGGACCAGUCCAGAUCCUUACAGUGAGCUGCCCAGGAGGAGACACAUCACCCACGAACAAUUGAGGGACGGCAACUGAUUUCAGCAGUGUUGGAAUUACCGAUUCCCCUGGGGCCCUUUGGUAGAUAUGCAAAUUGAUUUUCUUCACAUGCCUGCCUGUAAAAGGGGGAAAAAGAGAUGUUGGUCAUGGAUGACAGUCAAUCUAAAUUAAUAGAAAUUUUCCCCCGCCUCGAGUGAUAUAUGUGUAUUGCUGUUGUUGUUUCCUUUUCUUUGUUUUUCACCAGAUUGGGUCUGCUGGAUGGUGGAGUUUUCUCCCUGAGGAUUAGCCCUCUGACUCCUUGACCUGUAACUCUUCAUUGAGAUCGCCAAGAUGAUAGGAGAGUAUAAGCCAAUUUGUGUGUGGGGGGGGGGAAAUGGUUUCAACUGUGUGGUGUUAUUCUCUAAGACAUUUGUCUUAGAAGUCUGGAUUUCCUGAAUUACAAAUGCCCUAAACUAAACUGUUGUUCUGGUCUGUCCUCUCUCGAGGUAAUGGCGGAGAUGGUAUCUAGAUGCAUGGAAAAUAAUUUGGCCGAUGAACAGUGUGAUCCUCAACACCCCCUCUAACCGGCUGAAAAUGGUGUCCAGUAUGGUCCCUCACCACUUCUACCAUGAGACCUGAGUCCAGGCCAGCAACCUGUACACAGCAGUCGACGCGCUAUCAACUGCCUUUUCUCCCAUGUUUUUUCUCUCAGGAGCGACAUGUGGUGCACGUGAGCAUAGAGAGAGAUCCAGUCCAAACUUCUCUCAUGCUGCUGGUGUACUGGUAUAAAAAUGGACAAAGACAUAAUGAACUGUAAAGGACAGUGGCGGCACAGGUGAGAGACACUAUCAAGGGCCAUCCACUUUGAACAUGUGCCAUUAAAAAGACAAACUGAAACACUAUCUGAAGAAGAACAUGAAGAAACGUCAGGAAAGGAAGAAUGAGUGCCCGUAAUUGAUUUAGGCUUGUCCAAAAUUGUUUAUUUGGGGUAUUGGGUUGAUUGUGGAGGUUUGCACACUGCAAAAUGUUGUGAUUUAGACUAACAAUGCAUUGAAAUACCAAUCUGUCAUUACCAGGAGUGAUGAGAAAAGUGAGGGUCUUAAAUUAAAGUGACAGAACCAACGUGACGCACUAAGGACUGUCAUUCUAAAUUUGGGUUGGAUAAUAUAUCAAUAAUUCUGAUUUGGAAAGGCAAAACUUCUGGAGACAGAACUGUGCCCUAAAAACGUGAGGAGAGACACCAGAUUGUUACAAGGUUAGCCCAAGUUUCAAUCUCAUUCAUAGCAAGGUUGGUUUGAAACUGUUAUAAUGGGCUCUCUUUCUCUUCCCUGUGAAAUGUUAUUAACAUGCGAUGUGCCUCUCUGGCUGAUAAGAUUUCAGCAGCUUUCUUGUUUUCUACUCCUCCAGAGGAUGGUGAAACAGUUAGAUGCCAACUCUGGAUGAGCCCCCCCCCCCCCAUUUCCUCCGGUUCUUUUCCUUUUAGCAAGUUGAGAGUGAGGUCAUCUAAACCCUUAACCUGUUUAUAAUAUGUGGAACACUGAGCUGAUGAGCAAGUUAAACAACUGGGUUUUAUGUUUUGACUAGGUGGAUGUCCCAGGUGUGGAAAGAAAUAUGGAAACAAUGGAUAACAUCAAGAUAUUUAUUCACCUCUGAAUCUACAGAUCCGUUGUGUAUUUUGGAUACUCACUCCCAUUAAUAAAGUAUAACCUUUAUUA